GCCGACGUAGCUCAGUUGGUUAGAGCGCUGGAUUGUGGAUCCAGAGGUCGCUGGUUCGAGACCAGCCGUCGGUACCA
rnacentral:tRNA from 1 species